CCUACGGGAGGCAGCAGUGAGGAAUAUUGGUCAAUGGGCGCUAGCCUGAACCAGCCAAGUCGCGUGAAGGAUGACUGCCCUAUGGGUUGUAAACUUCUUUUGUAUGGGAAUAAAGUGCAGUAUGUAUACUGCUUUGCAUGUACCUUAUGAAUAAGGAUCGGCUAACUCCGUGCCAGCAGCCGCGGUAAUACGGAGGAUUCGAGCGUUAUCCGGAUUUAUUGGGUUUAAAGGGUGCGUAGGCGGGUUGUUAAGUCUGUUGUGAAAGUUUGCGGCUCAACCGUAACAUUGCAGUUGAUACUGGAAUGCUAGAGUACAGUAGAGGUAGGCGGAAUACGUUGUGUAGCGGUGAAAUGCUUAGAUAUCACGUAGAACACCGAUUGCGAAGGCAGCCUGCUGGACUGUAACUGACGCUGAUGCACGAAAGUGUGGGUAGCAAACAGGAUUAGAUACCCGAGUAGUC
rnacentral:rRNA from 1 species